rnacentral:rRNA from 1 species
GACGAACGCUGGCGGCGUGCUUAACACAUGCAAGUCGAACGAGUGGCGAACGGGUGAGUAAUACGUGGGUAACCUGCCCUCGUUUUGGGAUAAGGCUUGGAAACGGGGUCUAAUACAGAUUAGAGGGGGAUGGGCUUGCGGCGUAUUAGCUGGUUGGUGGGGUGAUGGCCUACCAAGGCGGUGACGGGUAGCCGGCCUGAGAGGGUGACCGGCCACAUUGGGACUGAGACACGGCCCAGACUCCUACGGGAGGCAGCAGUGGGGAAUAUUGCACAAUGGGCGCAAGCCUGAUGCAGCCAUGCCGCGUGUAUGAAGAAGGCCUUAGGGUUGUAAAGUACUUUCAGCGGGGAGGCGUUACCCGCAGAAGAAGCACCGGCUAACUCCGUGCCAGCAGCCGCGGUAAUAC